rnacentral:rRNA from 1 species
GGUUAAGCGACUAAGCGUACACGGUGGAUGCCCUGGCAGUCAGAGGCGAUGAAGGACGUGCUAAUCUGCGAUAAGCGUCGGUAAGGUGAUAUGAACCGUUAUAACCGGCGAUUUCCGAAUGGGGAAACCCAGUGUGUUUCGACACACUAUCAUUAACUGAAUCCAUAGGUUAAUGAGGCGAACCGGGGAACUGAAACAUCUAAGUACCCCGAGGAAAAGAAAUCAACCGAGAUUCCCCAGUAGCGGCGAGCGAACGGGAGGAGCCCAGAGCCUGAAUCAGUGUGUGUGUUAGUGGAAGCGUCUGGAAAGGCGCGCGAUACAGGGUGACAGCCCCGUACACAAAAAUGCACAUACUGUGAGCUCGAUGAGUAGGGCGGGACACGUGGUAUCCUGUCUGAAUAUGGGGGACCAUCCUCCAAGGCUAAAUACUCCUGACUGACCGAUAGUGAACCAGUACCGUGAGGGAAAGGCGAAAAGAACCCCGGCGAGGGGAGUGAAAAAGAACCUGAAACCGUGUACGUACAAGCAGUGGGAGCCUCUUUUAUGGGGUGACUGCGUACCUUUGUAUAAUGGGUCAGCGACUUAUAUUCUGUAGCAAGGUUAACCGAAUAGGGGAGCCGAAGGGAAACCGAGUCUUAACUGGGCGUUAAGUUGCAGGGUAUAGACCCGAAACCCGGUGAUCUAGCCAUGGGCAGGUUGAAGGUUGGGUAACACUAACUGGAGGACCGAACCGACUAAUGUUGAAAAAUUAGCGGAUGACUUGUGGCUGGGGUGAAAGGCCAAUCAAACCGGGAGAUAGCUGGUUCUCCCCGAAAGCUAUUUAGGUAGCGCCUCGUGAAUUCAUCUCCGGGGUAGAGCACUGUUUCGGCAAGGGGUCAUCCCGACUUACCAACCCGAUGCAAACUGCGAAUACCGGAGAAUGUUAUCACGGGAGACACACGGCGGGUGCUAACGUCCGUCGUGAAGAGGAAACAACCCAGACCGCCAGCUAAGGUCCCAAAGUCAUGGUUAAGUGGGAAACGAUGUGGGAAGGCCCAGACAGCCAGGAUGUUGGCUUAGAAGCAGCCAUCAUUUAAAGAAAGCGUAAUAGCUCACUGGUCGAGUCGGCCUGCGCGGAAGAUGUAACGGGGCUAAACCAUGCACCGAAGCUGCGGCAGCGACACUAUGUGUUGUUGGGUAGGGGAGCGUUCUGUAAGCCUGUGAAGGUGUGCUGUGAGGCAUGCUGGAGGUAUCAGAAGUGCGAAUGCUGACAUAAGUAACGAUAAAGCGGGUGAAAAGCCCGCUCGCCGGAAGACCAAGGGUUCCUGUCCAACGUUAAUCGGGGCAGGGUGAGUCGACCCUAAGGCGAGGCCGAAAGGCGUAGUCGAUGGGAAACAGGUUAAUAUUCCUGUACUUGGUGUUACUGCGAAGGGGGACGGAGAAGGCUAUGUUGGCCGGGCGACGGUUGUCCCGGUUUAAGCGUGUAGGCUGGUUUUCCAGGCAAAUCCGGAAAAUCAAGGCUGAGGCGUGAUGACGAGGCACUACGGUGCUGAAGCAACAAAUGCCCUGCUUCCAGGAAAAGCCUCUAAGCAUCAGGUAACAUCAAAUCGUACCCCAAACCGACACAGGUGGUCAGGUAGAGAAUACCAAGGCGCUUGAGAGAACUCGGGUGAAGGAACUAGGCAAAAUGGUGCCGUAACUUCGGGAGAAGGCACGCUGAUAUGUAGGUGAAGCGACUUGCUCGUGGAGCUGAAAUCAGUCGAAGAUACCAGCUGGCUGCAACUGUUUAUUAAAAACACAGCACUGUGCAAACACGAAAGUGGACGUAUACGGUGUGACGCCUGCCCGGUGCCGGAAGGUUAAUUGAUGGGGUUAGCGGUAACGCGAAGCUCUUGAUCGAAGCCCCGGUAAACGGCGUACGUAACUAUAACGGUCCUAAGGUAGCGAAAUUCCUUGUCGGGUAAGUUCCGACCUGCACGAAUGGCGUAAUGAUGGCCAGGCUGUCUCCACCCGAGACUCAGUGAAAUUGAACUCGCUGUGAAGAUGCAGUGUACCCGCGGCAAGACGGAAAGACCCCGUGAACCUUUACUAUAGCUUGACACUGAACAUUGAGCCUUGAUGUGUAGGAUAGGUGGGAGGCUUUGAAGUGUGGACGCCAGUCUGCAUGGAGCCGACCUUGAAAUACCACCCUUUAAUGUUUGAUGUUCUAACGUUGGCCCCUGAUCGGGGUUGCGGACAGUGUCUGGUGGGUAGUUUGACUGGGGCGGUCUCCUCCUAAAGAGUAACGGAGGAGCACGAAGGUUGGCUAAUCCUGGUCGGACAUCAGGAGGUUAGUGCAAUGGCAUAAGCCAGCUUGACUGCGAGCGUGACGGCGCGAGCAGGUGCGAAAGCAGGUCAUAGUGAUCCGGUGGUUCUGAAUGGAAGGGCCAUCGCUCAACGGAUAAAAGGUACUCCGGGGAUAACAGGCUGAUACCGCCCAAGAGUUCAUAUCGACGGCGGUGUUUGGCACCUCGAUGUCGGCUCAUCACAUCCUGGGGCUGAAGUAGGUCCCAAGGGUAUGGCUGUUCGCCAUUUAAAGUGGUACGCGAGCUGGGUUUAGAACGUCGUGAGACAGUUCGGUCCCUAUCUGCCGUGGGCGCUGGAGAACUGAGGGGCUGCUCCUAGUACGAGAGGACCGGAGUGGACGCAUCACUGGUGUUCGGGUUGUCAUGCCAAUGGCACUGCCCGGUAGCUAAAUGCGGAAGAGAUAAGUGCUGAAAGCAUCUAAGCACGAAACUUGCCCCGAGAUGAGUUCUCCCUGAGACUUUAAGUCUCCUGAAGGAACGUUGAAGACGACGACGUUGAUAGGCCGGGUGUGUAAGCGCAGCGAUGCGUUGAGCUAACCGGUACUAAUGAACCGUGAGGCUUAACCUU